GCAGCAGAAAGCCUGGAUCUGAGCCCUCCAAAGUCAGGGGUAUCCUGCUGUAAACCAAAGUGGAACAACAGCAAACUCGAAAACAAUCAGCCUGUUUUUCCACUCUGUUCUCUGAAGCAAUAGAAAAGUUUUAACUUUUGGCCCUCACUUUUUUGUCAGCUCUGCUUGGCUAGGGCUCAAGUCACUGUUGGGUAACCCAGAAGAAUGUGACAUCACUAACCCCAUGACAUCAUUCUAUCUGGCUUGUCAUUACCCUGUGACAUCACCCACCUGCGCAGUGGCAUCCUCACAUCCUGUUCCAUGUCUUGACCCCGUGGAGUCACUUUAUGUGACCUCCUCGCCUGCCCACUGGCCUGGGACAUCUGCCUCUCUGCAGCCCAGUGCCCACCAGGUGGGGAGCUCGUCCGGCCCUGCUCCGCAGGCCCACGCUAGACGCUGCUCCGAGCUCGUGGACGGGCGAUUUCCAGCGCGAAGGCGCUGGUAGGAGGGGUGCGGGUCGCCUGGCGGAGCUCCGCGGUCCGAGGAGGGGGGUCGUAACUGAUGCUGGGCGGGGCGAGCUGGGAGAAGAGGGGAGUCGCGCCCAUUGGCAGGCGCAGGCGUGGGAAAGGACGCCCGCCCGGGUUCACACACCCUGUGGCGGAUGGGCCUUAAAUAGCGGGCGCCGCGCGGGUUGGGCUGGGACCCUGCAGAGGGCGCGGAGCGCUCGGUACUGGGCCGAGGAGCAGCACACCCUGCAAAGAAACCGAGCGCCGUGGGCCUGGGAUUUAACUCAGCGGCGCUGUGUCUGCCUCGCAAGCGCAAGGUCCUGAGUUCGAUCCCCGGUACCAAAAAAAGAAAGAAAGAAGGAAAAAAAGCCGAGCGCCUUGCUGCACACCCCAGACAAGUGCUGCUGCGCGGCGGAGCCCUGCAAGCGCUCCCGCCGCUCGGAACUGGCGAAGACUGACGCCCUGGAGGUGACCGUAGGACGCCUGCGCGACCUGCGCCCCCGCAGGUGACCGGCGAGGCGCGGCCGGGCGUGCUGGGAGGCAGGAGGGGCGAGGGUCUCCGCCGGGGCGUCCCCUCCAGUCCCCGCCGCUCUGCAGCCAGACUCCGCACUGACCUCGCCUUCCUGGGCAAGCGUCGCGCCGCUCCACCGGCCCUGGCCAAGCCGCUUCCUGACCGGCUGCGAGGGCGUCUGCCGUGCCACUUGGCUGCCAGCCUCCCGGCUCUGCGCGAGGCUCCCGCGGUGCCCAAGCUGGGGCUGCAGGCCGGGGCGGGCCCGGGGGGCCGUGGAUGAGCUGCGCCCGGUCCUAGAGUGCGGGCUUGGCCGACUGUACUGAGCCGGAAAACGAUUUCCGAGCAAAAAAGGUUUUUCCUGCGGCUAGCUGACCUAACUGACAAAGAGCCACCCUCAGUUCCCCAAGUGUCUGUAUCCAGUGUACUUGUCUAUCAAAUCAUGUAAAAGAAAUGUAACGUCCUCCACCAAUGAACUGAUGAUAAAUGCCUUGCUUCUGUAUCCCCACUCCCCUUCCUUAACCCAUAUAAACCCUGUUCACUGCCGGCUCCGGGCGGAUCGCUUCGUGGAGAAAUCCUGCUCAGUCCGCCGCGUAAUAAAUUUGGCCCCAGCCUCCGGUGCGUUCUCCAUUCUUCUUGGCCUGGUCUUGCUAUACACUAAGAGCUGCCACACUGUGGACUGUAAGCCUACCGUUAUAGUACCACAGUGUAUUUAACUCCAGAGGCCCGCCUUGUCUUUUUGGGGGUUUUCUUUGUGAAUAGUCUUGUUCCUAAGAGCCUGCACACUCAGUCCCAGGAAGGCUGCGAGUCUCACGCUGGCCCUACGAAACCCUUACCCUAGGCCCCGCCCCUUCCCUAGGCCCCGCCCCUCCGGGCUUUGUCCCGCCCAGCUGGGUCCGCCCUUCCCUGGCACCGCCCCUAGCCCGGGCCUGUUGAAGCUCCGCCUCGGUCCGGGAGAUCUAGAUUUCCAGGUUCACCGAUGGAACCCAGGGCCCACCUUGGGGUGGCCCUAGGGUGUGAUGUUCCAGGAGGCAGGCAGGAAGGUGACAGCCACCAAGCUUUCCAGGAUGUAUCUCAGUGGUGGAAGGUGCUUAAAGGUUCAACUCCAAAUACCAGCCCCCCAAUAAAUACCACCCCUUUCAAAUGUCCAUCACCUGAUGAAUGGAUAGAUUGUGACGUAUCCUUACAACAGGAUAUUAUUUGACAAUAAAAAGGAAUGAGAAACUGGUACAUACUGUUGUGAGACUCUAAAAGACGAGAGACUGGGCGGGGAUUUAGCGCGAGUGGUUCCACGCCAGAUUCACAGGCACAAGGUCCCGAGUUCGAUCCCCGAUACCAAAAAAUAAAUGGGGGGGCUGGGGAUUCAGCUCAGUGGUUUCACUUCCUGCUGCUCAAGCGCAAGGACCCGAGCUCGAUCCCCGUAACAAAAAAAAAAAAAAAAAAAAAAGACAAGAGACUCACGGACUGGAACAGGAGGACUUUAUUUCAGGUUUAAGGUGUACACGGGCUCAACGGACUCCUCCCAAAGGAAGAGCCUUCAACAAAGAGAAGCUCCAGCUUGUGUAUAUUUUGUCGAAGGAGGUGGUGUUUCUAGUGACGUAGCAAUUAGGCAAAAAUAUCUUAGAAGACCAAAAGAAUAACGCAUGAAAGGAAAGUGGACAAAUUUGGCUUCAUCAAAAGUAAGAACUACUGCUGGUGGCACAUGCCUGUAGUCCCAGCUACACACGAGGACAAGACAGAGGGAUCUCAUCGCUUCUCAGCCUUUUGGCUAAGAUCAAGUGAAGACAGAGGGAUCACAAGUUCAAGUCCAGCCUGGGCAAUCUUAGUGUGACACUCUUUCAAAGUAAAAAUUAUAA
rnacentral:lncRNA from 1 species